rnacentral:rRNA from 1 species
GUAGGAUCCGAGCGUUAUCCGAAUUUACUGGGCGUAAAGCGCGUGUAGGCGGCCAAGUAAGUUGGACGUGAAAGCUCCUGGCUCAACUAGGAGAGGUCGUUCAAAACUGCCUGGCUAGAGGGCGACAGAGGGAGGUGGAAUUCCCGGUGUAGUGGUGAAAUGCGUAGAUAUCGGGAGGAACACCAGUGGCGAAGGCGGCCUCCUGGGUCGCUCCUGACGCUCAGACGCGAAAGCUAGGGGAGCAAACGGGAUUAGAUACCCCGGUAGUCCUAGCUGUAAACGAUGUGGACUUGGCGUUGGUGGGGUAAAAUCCAUCAGUGCCGUAGCUAACGCGAUAAGUCCACCGCCUGGGGACUACGACCGCAAGGUUA